rnacentral:rRNA from 1 species
CGACGGGUGAGUAACGCGUAAGGGACUUGCCUGCAGUCAGGGAUAACAGACGGAAACGACUGAUAAAACCUGGUAAAGUCAGACGGACUCAUGUCCUGCCUGAUGAAAAGGAAUGCUGCAGGAGAGCCUUGCGUCCUAUUAGCUUGUUGGUGGGGUAACGGCCCACCAAGGCGAUGAUAGGUAGCCGGCCUGAGGGGGUGGACGGCCACAAGGGGACUGAGAUACGGCCCUU